UUUUGUAUAAUGGGUCAGCGACUUAUAUUCUGUAGCAAGGUUAACCGAAUAGGGGAGCCGAAGGGAAACCGAGUCUUAACUGGGCGUUAAGUUGCAGGGUAUAGACCCGAAACCCGGUGAUCUAGCCAUGGGCAGGUUGAAGGUUGGGUAACACUAACUGGAGGACCGAACCGACUAAUGUUGAAAAAUUAGCGGAUGACUUGUGGCUGGGGGUGAAAGGCCAAUCAAACCGGGAGAUAGCUGGUUCUCCCCGAAAGCUAUUUAGGUAGCGCCUCGUGAAUUCAUCUCCGGGGGUAGAGCACUGUUUCGGCAAGGGGGUCAUCCCGACUUACCAACCCGAUGCAAACUGCGAAUACCGGAGAAUGUUAUCACGGGAGACACACGGCGGGUGCUAACGUCCGUCGUGAAGAGGGAAACAACCCAGACCGCCAGCUAAGGUCCCAAAGUCAUGGUUAAGUGGGAAACGAUGUGGGAAGGCCCAGACAGCCAGGAUGUUGGCUUAGAAGCAGCCAUCAUUUAAAGAAAGCGUAAUAGCUCACUGGUCGAGUCGGCCUGCGCGGAAGAUGUAACGGGGCUAAACCAUGCACCGAAGCUGCGGCAGCGACACUAUGUGUUGUUGGGUAGGGGAGCGUUCUGUAAGCCUGCGAAGGUGUACUGUGAGGUAUGCUGGAGGUAUCAGAAGUGCGAAUGCUGACAUAAGUAACGAUAAAGCGGGUGAAAAGCCCGCUCGCCGGAAGACCAAGGGUUCCUGUCCAACGUUAAUCGGGGCAGGGUGAGUCGACCCCUAAGGCGAGGCCGAAAGGCGUAGUCGAUGGGAAACAGGUUAAUAUUCCUGUACUUGGUGUUACUGCGAAGGGGGGACGGAGAAGGCUAUGUUGGCCGGGCGACGGUUGUCCCGGUUUAAGCGUGUAGGCUGGUUUUCCAGGCAAAUCCGGAAAAUCAAGGCUGAGGCGUGAUGACGAGGCACUACGGUGCUGAAGCAACAAAUGCCCUGCUUCCAGGAAAAGCCUCUAAGCAUCAGGUAACAUCAAAUCGUACCCCAAACCGACACAGGUGGUCAGGUAGAGAAUACCAAGGCGCUUGAGAGAACUCGGGUGAAGGAACUAGGCAAAAUGGUGCCGUAACUUCGG
rnacentral:rRNA from 1 species